rnacentral:miRNA from 14 species
GAGUGGGAAUCUGUCCUUGUUGGUCUUGACAGGUCUCAGAGAUGGCUACCAUACAUUGAAGGGGUGGCAGUAACGUCCUGGUCCUGUGCAGACCGACAGUAGUCUC